rnacentral:rRNA from 1 species
UGGGGAAUUUUGGACAAUGGGGGAAACCCUGAUCCAGCCAUCCCGCGUGUGCGAUGAAGGCCUUCGGGUUGUAAAGCACUUUUGGCAGGAAAGAAACGUCAUGGGUUAAUACCCCGUGAAACUGACGGUACCUGCAGAAUAAGCACCGGCUAACUACGUGCCAGCAGCCGCGGUAUUACGUAGGGUGCAAGCGUUAAUCGGAAUUACUGGGCGUAAAGCGUGCGCAGGCGGUUCGGAAAGAAAGAUGUGAAAUCCCAGAGCUCAACUUUGGAACUGCAUUUUUAACUACCGGGCUAGAGUGUGUCAGAGGGAGGUGGAAUUCCGCGUGUAGCAGUGAAAUGCGUAGAUAUGCGGAGGAACACCGAUGGCGAAGGCAGCCUCCUGGGAUAACACUGACGCUCAUGCACGAAAGCGUGGGGAGCAAACAGG